CAGCUAGACUGAGCACGUAUAUAUAAUGGCAGCAGGAACCUCAUCGGUCUCUCUUCCACUCCAGUCUGCCACGAGGAGCCAAGUAGAAAAUGCACUAUAGGCUCAAGUGCAUGAUGACUCGGACUAGCUUCUUCCAACCAUUGGUAUCUCUCCGGGAUGCAGGUGUUGGGUGACGCUGAAGAUGUGAAGGGAAACUGACCAUAAAAUAACAUGCAGGGGACUGCCAUGCCUGAGGAUAGUUGCUGGAUGAAGACGUCCUAAAUCCAGGCGUCUGUGCAGCUCCAGGGUGAUGUCGCUGUUCUGUUUACCUGGAGGCUUAUUUAGAAGGUCCAGUGCCAUGUUGAGGGGUCGCCUACCUGGUCUGGAUGAAGAGUACUGUUGCAACAUUUGACUCUUGCCCUGAAGCUGGAACGUGGCCUGGUUGUGUUGGCUUCAAAGUAGAUCUGUAAAACUCAGCAUUUCUGUACACUUGAGACUGAAUACAAUAAAAGACUAAAGAACAAUA